rnacentral:rRNA from 1 species
GCCGCGGUAAUACGUAGGGUGCGAGCGUUGUCCGGAAUUACUGGGCGUAAAGAGCUCGUAGGCGGUUUGUCGCGUCGUCCGUGAAAACUCGGAGCUUAACUCCGAGCUUGCGGGCGAUACGGGCAGACUUGAGUACUACAGGGGAGACUGGAAUUCCUGGUGUAGCGGUGAAAUGCGCAGAUAUCAGGAGGAACACCGGUGGCGGAGGCGGGUCUCUGGGUAGUAACUGACGCUGAGGAGCGAAAGCAUGGGUAGCGAACAGGAUUAGAUACCCUGGUAGUCCAUGCCGUAAACGGUGGGCGCUAUGUGUGGGGUCCUUCCACGGAUUCCGUGCCGUAGCUAACGCAUUAAGCGCCCCGCCUGGGGAGUACGGCCGCAAGGCUAAAACUCAAAGGAAUUGACGGGGGCCCGCACAAGCGGCGGAGCAUGUGGAUUAAUUCGAUGCAACGCGAAGAACCUUAACUAGGCUUGACAUAUACAGGACG